rnacentral:rRNA from 1 species
AACGAACGCUGGCGGCGUGCCUAACACAUGCAAGUCGAACGGGGUAGCAAUACCUAGUGGCGCACGGGUGAGGAACGCGUGGAUAAUCUGCCUUAGAGUGGGGGAUAACUAGUCGAAAGAUUGGCUAAUACCGCAUAAGACCACAGGAGCUGCGGCUCUAGGGGUCAAAGGUUUUUCGCUCUAAGAUGAGUCCGCGUAAGAUUAGCUAGUUGGUGAGGUAACGGCUCACCAAGGCGACGAUCUUUAACUGGUCUGAGAGGAUGAUCAGUCACACUGGAACUGAGACACGGUCCAGACUCCUACGGGAGGCAGCAGUAGGGAAUAUUGCACAAUGGAGGAAACUCUGAUGCAGCGACGCCGCGUGAGUGAUGAAGGCCUUCGGGUCGUAAAGCUCUGUCGCAGGGGAAUAACACAAUGAAUGUACCCUGUAAGAAAGGAUCGGCUAACUUCGUGCCAGCCGCCGCCGUAACAC